UGCCUGUGACAGUGAUGGGUGAGCGAUGUCUCCCGUCCUCAUCUCGGCCACGAGUGUUUUGUUUCUCUCCUCUCUCCUGCCCAGCUGAGGAGGGCAGUGCCAGAGCAGCUUUGGUGGGCACCUGCUGUCCAGCCAGGGGCAGCCCAGCACAGCUUCCGAGGUUCAUCCCGAGGCGCAGAGCCCGGGAACCACCCGGAGGCCCCUGUGCUGACGGGGGCAAAACCCACGGCGAGAGUUCCCCACGGCCCGGGGCCCGCGGCCGGGCUGGGCGCCUCCGAGAGGGGAGGCCCCCGCCUCGCUGACGGCUGCUGGGGAGGUGCCCCGAGGCCACCGCGCCCGCCCUGUCCCGCCCUGCCCUGUCCUGUCCCGGGCCGCCCUCCCCAGCGCUCGGGUGCGUCGCGGGGCUCCUGGCGGGCGGGCGGGCCGGACUCCAUUUCCCGUGGGCAGCGCGGGGCGGUGCAGCCGCAGUUCCGCCCGGCGCUGGUCCGGCGUUGGGAGCGGGCGGGCUCGGGUGGCCGGGGCCAUGAGGCGGCGGGGCGCGGGGCAGCGGGAGGUGCCGUGUGUGUUCGUGAGCGAGGGGAAGGAGGAGCCGUGGGCCCAGCGGGAGCGCCAGGUGGCCGAGGCGGAACGGGGCCGGGGCCGGGGCCGGGGCCGGGCCCAGGGGGAGCCGCUGGGCCGCGGGGAGCGGCGCCGCACGGCGGGGCGGAGCGGGGCGGGCAGGCAGCGGCACCGGCCGUGUCAGACCCGCCCGGGCUGUCCCGGAGUGUCUGCGCCUUCAGUGCGGGAGAGAAAGAUCGUUCGGGAGCCAUUUCAGCUCAGACUGGCCUGAGUUGGAAGGACCCACAAGGGUCAUUAGUCCAACUGCUGUCCCCGCACAGGACACCCCACAGGUCACCCGUGUGUCUGAGGGCGUUGUCCAGUCUCUUGUUGAACACUGUCAGGUUGGGGCCGUGACACCUCCCUGGGGAGCCUGUUCAGUGUCCAGCACCUCUGGGGGAAGAACCUUUUCCUCACGUCCAGCCUAAACCUCUCCUGGCACAUCUUCUGCCAUUCCCUGGGUUCUGUCACUGGUUGCCAGAGAGAUCAGCGCCUGCCCUUCCUCCUCCCCUUGUGAGGAAGCUGUAGACGUGAUGAGGUCUCCUCUUAGUCUUCUCUUCUCCAGGCUGAACAAACCAAGUGACUUUAACUGCUCCUCAGAUGGCUUCUUCUCCAAACCCUUCACCAGCCUCUUCUGGACACCCUCCAAUAGCUUUAGAUCCUUUUUAUGCUGUGGCGCCCAGAACUGCCCCCAGAAACCCCAGAUCCCUCUGCAGAGCUGCUCUCCAGCACCUCGUGCCCCAGUCUGUAUGUACAGCCAGGACUGCUGGCACUGAGAUGGAUGCUUGUGGAACCCACUCGUGACUGGUGUCCAACGCAACGUGGCCCCAUUGACUAGAACGCUUUGAGCCCGGCCCGCCAGCCAAUUGCUCACCCACUGCACUGUGUGUUUAUCCGGCUGUGUGCUGGACAUCUUGUCCAGGAGAAUGCUGCGAGAGACACUAUCAAAGCUUUACCAACAUCCAGAAACGAUUUAUUUAUUCACGGUCUUCUUGGCUCUGUUGUCAAAACAGAUAUACAGAAAUUUUUCUACGUUACUGACUAGAAUAAAUCCAGAUGCUCUUUCAGCAACAUGUUCAGAAACAGGCUGCCUGCUCUGUGGGCAUCGCGGAGCACGGGCCAAAUGCUGCCGCCGAGAGCCCUCCCCCUUAGGCAGGACGGCUGCCGGAGGGAAUCUCCCGGGACCGGGAUUCCCUCAUCUCCCCGUGUGGGUGAGUGAAAUAAUUCCUCGCAGGAUCGCGGGUCUCUGCUUAUUUUUCCUCACUUAGACAAAGUGAGUGUGUUCUGUGCUUAAAUAUAAGCACAUGUGUUUUCUUUAGCAAUUCCUUGCCAGAUUCAGGCAAGUGUGUACUUUUCCCGGAGUCAGGGAGGGCUCUGGCGUUGUAUUUGGUGAGCCACGUGUGUGCACACUGUGGAUCCCCAUUGUUAUUAUUUGCUGCACCCCAAUAAUUUCCUCAACUGAUACUCAAACCUGCAUUCAUGUUCUUGGAGAGCUAAAACCCCGUUCUUUACCGGUUAAUCUGCUGCACCUUUUUGACCAGAAUAAAAGUUUGUUUUGGA